rnacentral:rRNA from 1 species
ACUCAAAGGAAUUGACGGGGGCCCGCACAAGCGGUGGAGUAUGUGGUUUAAUUCGACGCAACGCGAAGAACCUUACCUGGCCUUGACAUCCCAGGAACACCUAUGAAAGUAGGUGGUGCCCCCUCACGGGGGAGCCUGGUGACAGGUGCUGCAUGGCUGUCGUCAGCUCGUGUCGUGAGAUGUUCGGUUAAGUCCGGCAACGAGCGCAACCCCUGUUGUUAGUUGCCAUCAUUCAGUUGGGCACUCUAACAAGACUCCCGGUGACAAGCCGGAGGAAGAUGGGGAUGACGUCAAGUCCUCAUGGCCCUUACGGCCAGGGCUACACACGUACUACAAUGGCGACUACAAAGGGCAGCGAGACCGCGAGGUGGAGCCAAUCCCAAAAAAGUCGCCUCAGUUCGGAUUGGAGUCUGCAACUCGACUCCAUGAAGUCGGAAUCGCUAGUAAUCGUGGAUCAGAAUGCCACGGUGAAUACGUUCCCGGGCCUUGUACACACCGCCCGU